AAGGGUAUAGCUCAUGUGGUAGAGUACCCACUUAGCAUGUGUGAGGUCCUGGGUUCAAUCCCCAGUACCUCCU
rnacentral:tRNA from 1 species